rnacentral:rRNA from 1 species
AAGAAAUUUAAUAAUUUUGAAAAUGGAUUUUUUUGUUUUGGCAAGAGCAUGAGAGCUUUUACUGGGCAAGAAGACAAGAGAUGGAGAGUCCAGCCGGGCCUGCGCUUAAGUGCGCGGUCUUGCUAGGCCUUGUAAGUUUCUUUCUUGCUAUUCCAAACGGUGAGAGAUUUCUGUGCUUUUGUUAUAGGACAAUUAAAACCGUUUCAAUACAACACACUGUGGAGUUUUCAUAUCUUUGCAACUUUUUCUUUGGGCAUUCGAGCAAUCGGGGCCCAGAGGUAACAAACACAAACAAUUUUAUCUAUUCAUUAAAUUUUUGUCAAAAACAAGAAUUUUCGUAACUGGAAAUUUUAAAAUAUUAA